GUGGGGGUGAAGAGCCUUCCCAAGAAAGCUGGAGGCAUUCCAGGAAGUAUCUCUGUGCCGGCAGAAGGAGAGCUGAAGCCUUGGGCUUAAACCUCCGGCUUCUCCCACCGCCCCCACCCCCACCCCCACCUUGCCUCUGCUGGGAUUGUCUGCUUUCUCUCCAGCCCCGCCCCCAAAGCUCCUGGAAAGGGGGGAGGGCACAGGCCCACACUCAGCAUAUACAGCACCCCUAAGACCACUGUCCCUGCCUCUCCCGUCUCCAUAUCCCGGUACCUCCCUGUAGAAAUGCUGUCCCCAGCUGUUCCCAUUCUCACCCCUGGAGACACAGCAGGACCGAGGCCCUGCCAUCUCCGGAUAAUGCAGCAUUGCCCUGGAGCUCUGGGUGGAGAGGGAAGGCUGACCCUGUCCCAGAAGCCAGGUGGGAGCCCCUUCGGCUUUCCAGAGAGCCAGCUACCCCUUUAGUUCUGGCUGGAAGGGAGCCCAGAUCCCCUCUGCAGGAACAACCACUAUUACUCCAGUCUUGUGUGCAUCCCAGAAAGAUUCUAUGCAUUGGCAAAUGUCUAUUAUACUUUACUUCCCAUGACUCACACAGGAGGGAGAAUGAGGCCCUCAGAGAAGUGAAGUACUUUGGCUAAGGUCACACAGCUGGUAAGUUGGCAGAGCUGGGAUCUGGAAGCAGAUCUAACUGAAAAACUCAGCUCCUUUCACCGCCCACGCUCUGGCAGAGGACUCCUUCUGUGUUACGUCUCAGUCUGGUGUCUCCUCCACGUAGGGGACUAUGUCCCUGAGGCCCAAGAGAAGAAGCUCUCACCUCAUCCGGAUUGGCAAGUAGGG